rfam:Aedes albopictus isolate Foshan contig176679, whole genome shotgun sequence.
UGUUCUGUGGCUUAGUUGGUUGAAGCGCUGGUCUAGCGAAUCAAGCGAAUCUAGCAAUCGCAGUCGUGGGUUCGAAUCCCACCAGAACGC